rnacentral:miRNA from 15 species
CGUUGUAUAGACGUCACAUUU